CUUACUUAAUCAAUACUCUGAUCAAGUCAUUGAUCAGCAGCAUCAUCAAAGUGAUCAAGUUGCUGUUGGACAGUCGGAGCCACUUUGCAUCAGCAGCAUCACGCUCCAGUGCUCUGAGACACUUUAUAGUCCUGACAGCUGAACACUGGAUGACUGACAGCUGUCAAUCAACACCAACAUGACUCUGAUCUCCGUCCUCAUCUGGACUCUGCUCUGCUGCUGCUUCACAGAGUCCAAAAUCCAGGUCACAGUGACUCAACCUGAAGCAGUCACAUCUGCUCCAGGAGGCUCCACCACCAUCACAUGUACAACCAGUCACAAUGUUUACCAUGAUUCAUCAUAUCAUUAUUUAUCCUGGUACCAACAGAGAGACGGAGAAACUCCUAAACUCCUCAUUUAUCGUGCGAGCACCCGAGCAUCAGGGACCCCAAACCGUUUUUCAGGCAGUGGAUCAAACUCUGACUUCAGUCUGACCAUCAGUGGAGUCCAGGCUGAAGAUGCUGCAGUUUAUUACUGUCUGGGUCUUUUUGAUUCCAGCAAGUACGAGCUGUUCACGUUUGGUGGAGGAACCAGACUGCAUGUUGGAUCUGGCACCUCUCCCACCCUGACAGUGCUGCCCCCCUCUGGUGAGGAGGUGCAAAAGGGGACGGCCACGCUCGUGUGUCUGGCCAACAAGGGCUUCCCCUCAGACUGGACUCUGGCCUGGAAGGUGGACGGCAGCAGCAGCAACUCAUGGGAGGAGACCAGGAGCCCCGCGGUGCUGGAGGAGGGCGCCCUCUACAGCUGGAGCAGCACCCUGAGGCUCUCUGCAGACCAGUGGAUGAAGGUCAACUCUGUGAGCUGUGAGGCCACUCGGGGCUCCCAGACUGCACUGUCAGAGACACUGAGGAGAGACCAGUGCUCCCAGUCCUGAGCCCACUCACUGGGACUCUGAUACUGGUUUGACCCUCAUCCUGCUCUCACUCUACAAUAUGUGUGUGUUUUGUCUUUUUCAAUCAUCGUUAUGUGGAACAUUUCAACAU